UACGUAGGCAGCGAGCGUUGUUCGGAAUUACUGGGCGUAAAGGGCGCGUAGGCGGCCGCUCGCGUCGGAUGUGAAAGCCCGGGGCUCAACCCCGGAACGGCAUCCGAUACGGGGCGGCUGGAGACCGGGAGAGGAGGGUGGAAUAGCCAGUGUAGAGGUGAAAUUCGUAGAUAUUGGCUGGAACACCGGUGGCGAAAGCGGCUCUCUGGCCCGGUUCUGACGCUGAGGCGCGAAAGCGUGGGGAGCAAACAGG
rnacentral:rRNA from 1 species